UUGUUUCUUGUCAACUUCCAAAUUCCACUUUAUACCAAACAAAUUAUGAAGAUAUGGUCCACGAAAACUGUCCAAGUUUCCAUCCUUUUCCUUUGUUUUCCGAUCGUCCAAACGACAAGCAAAAGAAGUUUUUUAUCUAAUUCCAUAUUCCUUCACCAAUUUUUAACGUUUUCACUUCUUUUAUGGUUUUUUAACCUUCGAUUUCAGUCACAGAGCGGCGGCAAGCAAGGGGCAAGUGUUUGGACCCUCUUUUUAUGGAAGAUUAUAUAAAGAAUGGAGCUUUAGGUCUCAUGGGCAUCACGGAAUUCACGCUCAAAUCCUCCGCCAUGGCCUCCCUCUCCAAAACAAUCUCAUCACCAAGCUGGUAGCCCUCAACUCCCCCGACCAUGCUCACGUCAUCUUCAACCGAAUCCCUUCUCCAAAUAACUUGUUUUGGAAUUCAAUAAUCAAAGGCUUAAUUUACCCAACAUAGCUCUCCUCGAAGUUCCCUCCUUUUGUACCCCAAAAUAGAUACAGAAGGCAUUAAACUCAGUUAUUUUACGUACCCAUUUGUUCUCCUGGCUUCUUCAGCCUCCUAGGCUUAGCUCAGACUUUGAAGGUGAACAAAUCCAUAUAGCCAUGUAAACAAACUCGGGUUUCAAUUUCAUGUCUUUGUAAAUUAGUAAUUGUAUGAUUAAUAUGCACUUUGAAGGCUAGUUUUUGGAGUUUGCCCGGGAAGUUUGGGAUGACAUAUAUGAGAAAGAUUAGGUUACUUGGAAUUGAUCAAUGAUAUCUGGGUAUGUAUUAUGGGAAGAGAUUGAUCAGAGAAGGAAUUUCAAGGGUACGUGCCAAAGUUUGAUAUCAUUGCAGAGAAUAUUGCUAAAUCAAUCAAGGCAAGGCACAUGGCAAAAAACAAUUCGUUUGCCGAAGCUGUUGCUCGCCAUGGCUACGAGCAUUCCAUGAGUUUGAAAAUUUUGAGAAGAAAGAUUGGUCCCAAAAUCGAUCAACAUAUCGCUCAUGGCAGAGACCAAAAGUGCUGGUUUUGAUCUCUUCACAUUUAAGCACCUGUUCAAAGGAAAUGCUAGAUGCAGUUUGGUCUGAUAGUACCACUUUACUGAAAACGGCAGUUGUUCGGGGCAUUCAAUCCAAACAUGGGGUCUCCAACAAAACUUUUGGCCACCCCUUCAGGCUUUGCAAAAAUUAAUAUAUAUAUAUAUAUAUAUAUAUAUAUAUAUAAUAUACAAAUCUUAUAGUCUGGUACCCUUUGAAAUAUGCUCUCGAAGUGGACUUAAAGCAGCAUGCAACUUUAAUUUUUCAUUUUCUUUUUAUUUUGAGGAUUUUCAUGAAGUCAUGGUUAUGUAUGAGUGAACUGGAUUUACUUAUCAGGCAGGCUCAACAAGAGCAAUUCGAUUUUCAAUCCUUGUUGAUACAUAAAACGCAAAUUCAAAAAAACUAUGCAAGGGCUGCAGUUUCUGAUGGGUCAUACUUGAAUUCCGACCAAGCCCAGUAGCCCAAAUCUUGGCAGACUUAGGAGCCGCUUUGAUCACCCGUGGCAACGCUGGUCUUAUUGUCCCAGAAACUCUUCUUCUUGCUCCGCGGUCGUUAGUAGAGAACGCGCGCCAACAGGCUAUCGAGUGACUGUCUCCAAAUGUUUGGUAUUUCUUAUGGAGAGCUCUUCCUCUUGAUUGGAGCCACUGCUGCUCUAGUCGGACCAAAGGAUCUCCCAAAAAUUGCAAGAACAGCUGGAAGGUUAGCAGGUCGAGCAAUUGGGUAUGUUCAAUUAGCUCGUGGCCAAUUCGAUAAUGUUAUGCAACAAUCUCAAGCUCGCCAGGUUCACAAAGAGCUUCAAGAUACAAUGGCACAACUAGAUGCGAUUCGGUAUGAAAUACGGAGUUUAUCUCUCAUGAAUCCUGGUCCUAUGACUCGAAGACUGAUGGAUAGUCCUCCAGAGCCUGCUUCUGAUAGUAAUGUGGGUACAAUUCCGCCUGAGAAAGGUGAAGAAGAGAAGAAUUCAGAUGAUGCUGUGAAGAAGGAUUAUAAUGUCAAAUCUUUGGCUUCAACUAAUUUGCAUAGCCAAGCAACUGCCUAUGCAAGAUUGGCUGAAUCUGAAGCUGUUAAAGCUGAUUCAGUGAAGUGCAGUAUAGAAGAAGAAAAUCUUAAUUAUGAAUUUGGUGAUUUCACUGUUCUUCCAGUUUCAGCUAAAGAUGCUGGAUUCGUUGCAGAUCGAAAAGAAAGUGCAAAAGGAUCAGACAUUGUGUUGGAAGCAGUAUUAGAGGCAGAGGUGGCACGGAAUGCCAAAGAUUUCUUUUCUCUUCCUCAAAAUCAAUUACAAGAAAUAAGAAGUUAGGCUGAAUUUGCAAGACUUGGGGAAUCCUCAUAUGCAUGCUUAUAUAUGUUCGGAAGUUUUAACACAUGCUCCAGGGGAUGAAGAUUCAAAAUUUGGGCUACUUGCUCAGUUUCGUGUUGAGGGUUGACUUUCUCUCAUUUUGUAAGUUCUCCUAUAAUGCCUUCUCUUUCAUUAGGAAAUGACCAAGUGUAUUUAUAAAAUUACAAAUUAUUGAAGUUCUCAUCAUAUGACCUCAAUUUCCUAAUACUAUAAAUAUGACCAAUGUUAUUCACUUAUAGUGGAAGACAUUCAAAUUGUUGAUUAUUGACAUCAUGGGGGGAAGGUGGAUAGAAACAACAGAGCAUUUGGAAACAAUCAAUGAUGUGUAUAUAUUAUACAAUUUCCCUUGGAAGUUCCAAUCUUUGAACAAAAGAAAGUUUAUCGAUAGUUGAUUUCCUGUCUAAUUUGGGCUCUAUCUGUGAGCUUGGGGUGCUGGGCCUGGGGUUCAAGCAGACAAUUCUUUACUUGGUUUUAGAUGAACGAGUCAGAACUUUUGUAAGCACGUUUCCACACUUUUGGCUGUGGGUGGUUCAAUCUUUCUUCUUGGAUGCUCUUAGCAAUUGACAGAAGAAAGGAUUAG